rnacentral:lncRNA from 1 species
CUCUGGUUCUCGUCUCUGCCCUGCCGGAGACUGGGACAUCCUUUUCUCUCCCUGGGUCUGUGUCCCCGUCGCUACAUCCCAGCCUGGAGGGCAUGGCCCAGCGGUUGCAUAGGUCCCUCGGUUUCUGCAGAGCCCGGGAGUCACCCUAUUUUGGUGAAUUGCUCCUCCAUGGGUCGUGAAAGAAGAUCAUGUCAGUGGUGGUGUUUCUGCUCGUCUCAGAAGGGAAGUCUGUGACCCGUGGGAGUUGCUGGGGAGGGCCUGGUCUGGGCCAGGCCUCUUCUUUGGGUUGCCCCCUCACACACUCUGGUCAUCCAGGAAGCCUCUGUGGCCCUCGGAAUGUGUAAAAGAUGGUGGUUUUAGGAGCUGCUGGUUUUGCAACUGAGUGCUGACGGCUUAUUUCUUGUUAAUGAUUCUGUCAAAAGUGUCUUAGCGAUGCUCUUCAGCCCUUCAUCACCCACCCAAAAAAGAUUAAAGUGGAUUCUUCAUCAGCUAUUUUAAAAUCACCUAAGAAUUAUACAAUCCUUUGGAG